AGGAACAUAGCUUAAUGGUAAAGCAUACGCCUUCAAAGCGUUAGACUGGGGGUUCGAGCCCCUCUGUUCCUG
rfam:Babjeviella inositovora NRRL Y-12698 unplaced genomic scaffold BABINscaffold_33, whole genome shotgun sequence.